AAAGAAUUUUUUUUUCUUACGGAAUUCCCAGCAAGAAAAAAUAAAAGUAAAGUCUAUUGCUGUGUAUUUGGUUGUACAAACAUAGCUUGUCGUGAUGAAAAAAUUAGGUUUUUUACCUUCACCUAUUGAUUCAACUCGAACUUAUUUAAAAAAAACAAGUAUUCCUAGUCAAAAUCUUCCUUUAGGAUCAUCCAAAGAAUGUGCUUGUCCUGUAGAUCAAAUAGAUUCUCGAGAAGAAAGAAUACGUAGAAGAUCAAUUAAA